AAUACCUUAUGUAGGCCAUCGUUACAUCGUUUUGUUUGUUAUUGUUUACGACCAUUCAAUUAUAUAAUACUAUAGAUUCUAUAGCAUAGAAUGUGUAUUCGAUUGAACAGCCCAAGUUCCUGGCCACUACUUUCAGUAUAACCAAUCGUAAAUUGACGCGUAUAAAAAAUUGAUUACAGCCGGGUGCCUAACUGACCAAUCAAUAUUUACGGAUAUAUUAUUUGUAAUCGAAGUCUGGUUUUUUAUUCUAUACAUACGAUUUUAUAUAAGCUGUAUUAUAGCGAAACAUCCAAA